GACGAACGCUGGCGGCGUGCUUAACACAUGCAAGUCGAACGGAAAGGCCUCUUUCGGGGGGUACUCGAGUGGCGAACGGGUGAGUAACACGUGAGUAACCUGCCCUUGACUUUGGGAUAACUUCAGGAAACUGGGGCUAAUACCGGAUAGGAGCUCCUGCUGCAUGGUGGGGGUUGGAAAGUUUCGGCGGUUGGGGAUGGACUCGCGGCUUAUCAGCUUGUUGGUGGGGUAGUGGCUUACCAAGGCUUUGUCGGGUAGCCGGCCUGAGAGGGUGACCGGCCACAUUGGGACUGAGAUACGGCCCAGACUCCUACGGGAGGCAGCAGUGGGGAAUAUUGCACAAUGGGUGGAAGCCUGAUGCAGCAACGCCGUGUGCGGGAUGACGGCCUUCGGGUUGUAAACCGCUUUCGCUCAUGACGAAGCUUUGUGUGACGGUAGUGGGUAAAGAAGCACCGGCUAACUACGUG
rnacentral:rRNA from 1 species